GAAAUCUUUAGCUUGCUAGAGAAAGUAAAGUGGCGCACGGGUGAGUAACGCGUGGGUAAUCUGCCUCCGAAUCGGGGAUAACAUUGCGAAAGCGAUGCUAAUACCGGAUAAAAUCUGGUUGGCUUCGGUGAACCGGAUCAAAGGUGGUCUCGUUAUAAAAGCUACCGUUUGGAGAUGAGCUCGCGUACCAUUAGCUAGUUGGUGAGGUAAAGGCUCACCAAGGCGACGAUGGUUAGCUGGUCUGAGAGGAUGAUCAGCCACACCGGAACUGGAACACGGUCCGGACUCCUACGGGAGGCAGCAGUGAGGAAUUUUGCGCAAUGGGGGAAACCCUGACGCAGCAACGCCGCGUGAGUGAUGAAGGCUUUCGGGUCGUAAAGCUCUGUCAGGUGGGAAGAACCCACCAAGUGUUAAGACCACUUGGUGCUGACGGUACCACCGAAGGAAGCACCGGCUAACUCCGUGCCAGCAGCCGCGGUAAUACGGGGGGUGCGAGCGUUAUUCGGAAUCAUUGGGCGUAAAGGGCGCGCAGGCGGUUUUGCAAGUCAGAUGUGAAAUCCCGGGGCUUAACCCCGGAAGUGCAUAUGAAACUAUGAGACUUGAGUAUGGGAGAGGGAAGCGGAAUUCCUGGUGUAACGGUGAAAUGCGUAGAUUUCAGGAGGAACACCGGUGGGCGAAGGCGGCUUCCUGGACCAAUACUGACGCUGAAGCGCGAAGGCGUGGGGAGCGAAC
rnacentral:rRNA from 1 species